AAGUCGUAACAAGGUUUCCGUAGGUGAACCUGCGGAAGGAUCAUUAUUGAAUAAACUUGAUCAGGUUGUUGCUGGCUCCCCUGAGCAUGUGCACACUUGUCAUCUUUACUUCUCCCCACUGUGCACAUAUUGUAGGCCUGGAAUUCUUGUGAUUAUUUUGUAUAGAUUGAGGACUGCUGUGCUUUAGCCAGCUUUUCCUUGCAUUUCCAGGUCUAUGUUUACCUUCACAACCUCUGAAUAUGUUUAGAAUGUUGGAAUAUAAUAUAUAUAUACAACUUUCAGCAACGGAUCUCUUGGCUCUC
rnacentral:misc_RNA from 1 species